ensembl:lncRNA
AUCUAAAGGGCAGUGUGAAUACAAAGCAAAUGGUUAUUUCCCUUUAGAGAGGACUGUAUGGUGAAAACACCCUAUAAGACACAUAAUCGACUCCAUUCAAAAAUCAGCAAAGUGUUCGAGACAAGGACGAAUUAAAAGUUAAAUCUCUGCUUUUUAUUAUAGAUUAUUGAAAUGAACUCCUCUGACAUGGAGCUUGUACGUCCCCGGAGAGAGAAGAAAAACAAUUAUAUUCUCAAAAUAUAUUAUAAAUAUAAUAACCCCCACCCUUCAUUAGUGCUGAUCACUCACACAACAAUAUGUCGGCCAAGGAAUCCAAGCCACGUUAAAAAGGACAACCUAAUAAAACCAGGAAAAUACAAGGAGAGAAAAUGAGAGAGACAAUCCAAACUAUGAUUUUACAUAUCCACUCAUUUGUGGAUACAGGCUUUUUGUCCCUGCACUAAUACCAUACUGCGACAGACACAAUCAAACCCAGUCCAGCAGCACAAACCUCUUCUACAGUGUCAUAAAAAAUAAAGAAUAAAUCAUUGGUUAAAUAGUCUUUAUAUAGUAAUAUGGUUCCUAGAUACCAGUGUGUCAUGGUCAUAUAACCAGUCACUUCAGAAGGUUGAUAUUGUGAAGAAAUAGCUCCUCUAUAGACCCAAAGGAAACAAGCAAAUACAACACCAACCAGCAUGGGAAGAGAUGCAUCUCUUCCCAUGCUGGUUGUUGUUGCAUCUCUUCCCAUGCUGGUUGUUGUUGCAACACCAACCAGCAUGGGAAGGAUACAACACCAACCAGCAUGGGAAGGAUACAACACCAACCAGCAUGGGAAGAGAUGCAACACCAACCAGCAUGGGAAGGAUACAACACCAACCAGCAUGGGAAGGAUACAACACCAACCAGCAUGGGAAGGAUACAACACCAACCAGCAUGGGAAGAGAUGCAACACCAACCAGCAUGGGAAGAGAUGCAACACCAACCAGCAUGGGAAGAGAUGCAACACCAACCAGCAUGGGAAGAGAUGCAACACCAACCAGCAUGGGAAGAGAUGCAACACCAACCAGCAUGGGAAGGAUGCAACACCAACCAGCAUGGGAAGGAUCCAACACUAACCAGCAUGGGAAGAGAUGCAACACCAACCAGCAUGGGAAGAGAUGCAACACCAACCAGCAUGGGAAGGAUAAAACACCAACCAGCAUGGGAAGGAUACAACACUAACCAGCAUGGGAAGAGAUGCAACACCAACCAGCAUGGGAAGGAUAAAACACCAACCAGCAUGGGAAGAAUGCAACACCAACCAGCAUGGGAAGGAUACAACACCAACCAGCAUGGGAAGAGAUGCAACACCAACCAGCAUGGGAAGGAUGCAACACCAACCAGUAUGGGAGGGAUUUUCUGAAUGAAUGGCGACAGGACAGAACUACAGGAAUAGAGUGGUUGAAGUCAGGAAACGACGAGAGAGCACCUGCAACACACAGGCUGAAUCCACAAAAUGGCACCUGACCUAUUCCCUUCAUAGUGCAUUACAUUUGAGUCCAUAGGGUUCUGAUCUAAAGUAGUGCACUAUAUAGGGAAUAGGGUGCCAUAGGGUUCUGAUCUAAAGUAGUGCACUAUAUAGGGAAUAGGGUGCCAUAGGGCUCUGAUCUAAAGUAGUGCACUAUAUAGGGAAUAGGGUGCCAUAGGGCUCUGGUCAAAAGUAGUGCACUAUAUAGGGAAUAGGGUGUCAUAGGGUUCUGGUCUAAAGUAGUUCACUACACAGUGAGCCAUAGGGUUCUGGUCUAAAGUAGUGCACUACACAGGGAGCCAUAGGGUUCUGGUCUAAAGUAGUUCACUACACAGUGAGCCAUAGGGUUCUGGUCUAAAGUAGUUCACUACACAGUGAGCCAUAGGGUUCUGGUCUAAAGUAGUUCACUACACAGGGAGCCAUAGGGUUCUGGUCUAAAGUAGUUCACUACACAGUGAGCCAUAGGGUUCUGGUCUAAAGUAGUUCACUACACAGUGAGCCAUAGGGUUCUGGUCUAAAGUAGUUCACUACACAGUGAGCCAUAGGGUUCUGGUCUAAAGUAGUUCACUACACAGGGAGCCAUAGGGUUCUGGUCUAAAGUAGUUCACUACAUAGGGAAUAGGAUGCCACAGCAGCUGAUUCCCUCCCAUUGUAACCAACAACAACAUAAGAUGGUAUGUACAUAGCAGUGGAGGCUGCUGGGAACAACUAUAGGAAGACAGGGUCAUCACUUGAUGUGUUUUAUAUCGUUUUAAUUUAAUCCAUCCCAGCCUCCUAUAGCUCCUCCCACCAAUGUCCUGUGGUAGAGAGUUACACUGCGGGUGCAUUUACACAAGCAGACCAGUUCUGGUCUUUUACCACUAAAUGGUAUUUUGACCAAUCAGAUCAGCUCCUUUGCCACUAAUUGGUAUUUUGACCAAUCAGAUAUUGUGUGGGUAUAUUGGGCUUGCCUGUAUAAAUGCAACCUAUGAGUGUUGUAACCAAGUGUGAUAACGAAGAGAAAUAGCAAGGUGCUUCCCUACAGUUCUUAACUGCCCUUCAGACCAACAGUAGAUGUGUUGAUGAGAAACUACAUCCAGGGGAAAAGGGUUCAAUUCAGGAAGAACACCGAAAUGACAAUUCUAAUUUCAAUUCCAUUCAAUGCUGUUCAAUGAGGAAAAUGUGGAUUUUUUUUUCUUCAAAUUUUGGUUUACUUUCUGAAUUGACUGGAAUUGAAAUGGAAUCUAACCGACGACAGCGUACUAUUUAGCAGAAACACUAAAGAGGAAAAUAAUAAAAACGCUCCUAUUAAAAUAGUCACACAGCUACAACAUGCGGAAAAUGAAUCCAUUCCUUACUUCAUCUCAUUCAUCUCCACGAUUUCUAAAGAAAGUGUAUAUAUGUAUAUAGCAACAAUAGUUUCAGACAUGUUAUAGAUUUCACAACAUAACAAGUCCCUUUUGGUGAAAAUAUAGUUAAUUUCAAAAUAUCUCACAGGAUUUUUUUCUUCUUCUCUUCUCGUAUUGUCAAAAAAACAAAACAAAAAGCAACCGAGUCAAUCUGUGACCAGGGAAUCAAUCUAGCCUCGUCUUAACAGUAGUCAAAUUAAUUUCACUGUUACUACCACUAGAUUUUAAAUUAAACAAGGCAUUAAAACAUACAACCAUAAAUCAUCCUUCCCCUUUAAAAAAAAAAAAGUGUCAGCUAGCUGAAAAAAACCACACAAAAAAAAGACAAAGACAAACAUGGUAAAAUAAUUUUUUGUUGUUGUUGAUAAAAGCAACUAAAUCUCAUCAAGACAAAUACUAAAUCAAACAAAUAAAAAUGGACGACAACACAGACAUUCGUUGAAUGGCCUUACACCUCUUUACAGAAUGGACCUGCGAACACCAGUACAUGAGUUCAGACCAUAUUAUUGUGAAGAGGUACAUAAAGGCUGCGUUUACACAGGCAGUCCAAUUAUGGGCAAAAUAUCCGAUCCGAUUGGUCAAAAGACCAAUUAGUGGCAAAAAAAAAAAAAAGUCAGAAUUGGUCUGCCUGUGUAAACGCAGCCUAAAGAGUUAUAACCAUCAUCAACCUGGUCAGUACCAAUACUCUAGUCCAGCGUUUCCCAAACUCGGUCCUCAGGACCCCAACAUUUUGGUGUUUGCCCCUAACACUACACAGCGGAUUCAAAUGAUCCAAGCUAGAUGAUUCGAAUCAUCUGUGGAAGUGUCAGUGAAAAAAAAAAACUAAACGUGCACUGGGGGGGCCCCAGGACCGAGUUUGGGAAACGCUGCUAUAGUCAAAACAAGACAGACAACUUCUGAAAUCAAGUCUGUCCUUGAAAGAUGGAAGGCGGAGAGGAAGAGAACUGUACUACUCUUGAUUAAACAGUGAAAUGUAAAACAACUUGAAAACCCCCUUCUAUCAGCUGCAGAGAAGUGGUGUUGUUUGUGGUUUUACAGUAGAAGUUGAACCUUUGGAAUAAUAACAUUGAGCUGAUGUAGCUCUACAUAUCGUCACAGUGCAUUGAAUAUCAGACCAAAAAAAAAAAAAAAAAAAAAAAAAAAAAGCUGAAGUAUUUUCUGGGGGUUAAGAUGCUGAAAUCCCUUCCAGAUAUCUUUGUUAGGGCCCAACCAUGCAUCCACUGUUGUAUUGCACAGCACAUAAUGACAACCUUUUAAAUGUACCCAAACAAACACAAAAGGAAACAAGAAUCAUCUUAAAACGAUAACAAUAAUAAUCUCACUACGAAACCAUUUUUUCUCGCUGGCUGCAUAGUGACCUUUUUUGUUGCAAAAACAAUCCAUUGUUGGUACACGUAACGAUUCUUAAUUUAUUUUAUUUGUAUAUUACAACCGGCUAAAAACAUGCACCCAACUGCCCUCUGGGAAAUGCAGUUCAAACAGUCUCUCCAGCGCAUCAUGGUGUCCAUUGUUCCAGUCAAAAAGGUCAGAGUUCAGUGACUGUCGUAUGAUUCAAAAGUGCUUUAUGCGGUUCAGUAGGCCUUCUUUCUUCUGGAACUAUUACAACGUUUAUUAGCACGUAUCAUCUGUGAAAGAAAACACACUUUCAGUAUCAAAUACACUGACAUGAGUGUUUCCUGUUGCUUACGUACCGAUUCAUUACAUAAUCUAGUCUGGAUUUAGGUACAC